UGACAGAGCGAGACUCCGUCUCAAAAAAAUAAACUCGACAUGAUGAUGGCUGUGUGUUCACCUGAGAGGUCCAGAGCUCCCCAGAUAAACCACGUCAUGCAAAAAAAUGCUUUGAGACAACGACAGGCAAGCCCAGGUGGUACAACAGGACACAGAAACCAUCCCAAAACAAACACUCAUGAUUCUCCUGUAUGACACCAGGAGCCAGCUGUUUCUCACAUGCCCCAGCCACCUCCCAGUCCCAAACCUUUCUUCCUUGGCCAGCUCCAUGUCUUCCAUUUGGAAUGUCUUCCAGGGGUCAAGUCUGGGGUUCCCUGGGGUCCCCAGUUGGCCUCACACCGUGGAUGCCCUGGGUAUUGGCUCUGGACGAUGACUUUUGAGCAGCUUUUCUGACAGCAUCCACCACCUGUGGCUGCCUCCCUGGCAGAGGCGGUAACCAUGGAAACGGGGAAGCCAGCCAAGGAUCAUCUGUGAUGGGAGAGUGGGAGGGAAAAGGAGGCAGACAAAGGGGGCAGGCAUCGGUUCAUGAGUCGAAGGGCGUCGGCACCUGAGUGUGGUAGGCCUUUUACAAUUCACACCUCCCCAGCGUGUCUACAGGUAUCACGUCCCAGGCCCCCAGGAGGUAAGGAGGAGGGUGAGAGCUCCUCACAUCUGUGGCUCCGUGGAAGAGGACGCGUCCUGUGCCUCCACACCACACCCUUGACAUUGGCUGUUGUGAUGCUCUGGGUAUAAUCAGUCCCUGCUCCAACUCUUUCCAUGGCACUGAAGCCUGGAUAACACAGUAGAUGGGGUCUCAGUCUGUGGCCCAGGCUGCAGUGAAGUGGAAGGAGGAAAAGAAUGGGACCUAUUUCACCUGGAGUGUCGCAUCCACCAAUAUCAAUGCUGCUGAAAUGAAGGAGAUUCUCUCUCUCUUUCUCUCUAGAGGUGGGGUCUCUGUGGCCCAGGCUGUAGUGCAGUGGGGCCAUCAUGGCUCACUGUAGGCUUGGCCCCCAGCCUGAAGCAAUCCUCCCAUCUCAGCCUCCCAAAUAGGCCUGACUGCAGAUGCUUACCACCACACCUGGCUAAAUUUUCUAUUUUUAUUAUUUUAUUUUAUUUUUUGA
rnacentral:lncRNA from 10 species